GAUAACGCAGGUGUCCUAAG
rnacentral:snRNA from 1 species